rnacentral:rRNA from 1 species
UCCUACGGGACGCAGCAGUGAGGAAUAUUGGUCAAUGGCCGAGAGGCUGAACCAGCCAAGUCGCGUGAGGGAUGACGGCCCUACGGGUUGUAAACCUCUUUUGUCGGGGAGCAAAGAGAGUCACGUGUGGCUCAUUGAGAGUACCCGAAGAAAAAGCAUCGGCUAACUCCGUGCCAGCAGCCGCGGUAAUACGGAGGAUGCGAGCGUUAUCCGGAUUUAUUGGGUUUAAAGGGUGCGUAGGCGGUCCGGAAAGUCAGCGGUAAAAGCCCGGGGCUCAACCCCGGCGAGCCGUUGAAACUGUCGGA